rnacentral:rRNA from 1 species
CACGUAGGGUGCGAGCGUUGUCCGGAAUUAUUGGGCGUAAGAGCUCGUAGGCGGUUUUUGUCGCGUCGGGCCGUGAAAACUUGGGGCUUACCCCGAGCCUGCGGUCGAUACGGGCAGACUUGAGUUUCGGGCAGGGAGACUGGAAAUUUCCCUGGGUGUAGCGGGUGAAAUGCGCAGAUAUCAGGGAGGGAACACCGGUGGCGAAGGCGGUCUCUUGGCCGAUACUGACGCUGGGAGGGAGCGA